GACGAAGGAUGCAAGCGUUAUCCGGAUUCAUUGGGUUUAAAGGGUGCGUAGGCGGACUAAUAAGUCAGUGGUGGAAUCUCUCAGCUUAACUGAGAAACUGCCAUUGAUACUGUUAGUCUAGAGUACAGAUGAUGUGGGCGGAAUAUGACAUGUAGUGGUGAAAUACUUAGAUAUGUCAUAGAACACCGAUUGCGAAGGCGGCUCACAAAACUGUAACUGACGCUGAGGCACGAAAGUGCGGGGGUCAAACAGG
rnacentral:rRNA from 1 species